rnacentral:rRNA from 1 species
GACGAACGCUGGCGGCGUGCCUAAUACAUGCAAGUCGAGCGGAUUGAUGGGAGCUUGCUCCCUGAUAUCAGCGGCGGACGGGUGAGUAACACGUGGGCAACCUGCCUGUAAGACUGGGAUAACUUCGGGAAACCGGAGCUAAUACCGGAUAACUUCUAGCACCUCCUGGUGCGAGAAUAAAAGAUGGCGUCUAGCUAUCACUUACAGAUGGGUCCGCGGCGCAUUAGCUAGUUGGUGAGGUAACGGCUCGCCAAGGCGACGAUGCGUAGCCGACCUGAGAGGGUGAUCGGCCACACUGGGACUGAGACACGGCCCGGACUCCUACGGGAGGCAGCAGUAGGGAAUCUUCCGCAAUGGACGAAAGUCUGACGGAGCAACGCCGCGUGAGCGAUGAAGGCCUUCGGGUCGUAAAGCUCUGUUGUUAGGGAAGAACAAGUACCGGAGUAACUGCCGGUACCUUGACGGUACCUAACCAGAAAGCCACGGCUAACUACGUGCCAGCCGCCGCGGUAAAAC